GCCUGAGUGGCUCAGUAGGUUAAGCAUCUGCCUUCAGCGCAGGUCAUGAUCCCAGGGUCGUGGGAUUGAGUCCUGCAUCAGGCU
rnacentral:tRNA from 1 species